GCCGUGUAACAAGACCUGAGAACUGUUUCACAUGCUGGAUCGCUGAAUCUUUGUUUGAGAUGUAUGAAAUCACCUUAUGUUCUGUACAUCAAUUUCCUACCUAAAAUCUGAUUUAAUUUGAAAGACAAAUCAGCUUAGUUCUCCAUUACUGUCUCUGUAGAAAGAGUAAAUACAGCCUCAUAGCACUGUUAUGGGCUUCUGGGAACAUAAAGAAAGUUCCAGUGUAAAGACCAAGAUUUCUUUCCAAAUUUCAGUUCUACCUGAUCCCCAUCAUCAGAGAAGCAGUUGCUGCAUGACACUGGCACUGAGUAAGGAUUAGAGGAUUUGUGGACCAUCAUCAGCUCACUCAAAUAAUAAUACAUUUUCUGUUCAAGUUGUACAGAACAGUUUAAUUUUUACUGCUUUCCAACGCCCUGUGUUGUCUGGCAUUCUUGUUUUUUUCCUAGGUUUCUACUACUAUACUGGAGAAGAGGAGGAAAGCAAACUCCAGAUGUGGAAAUCUGAAGAGAUUUUUUUUCUCUAGGUUUUUUUCCCUCAAUUGUGUAGACUCUGAGUCUAGAAAAAGCUCACCAUAAUAAGAAUUCUGAUCUCAGUGCUGCAAUUAGCACUAAAUGGGAAGAGAUGAGGAAGGACUCUUCCUCCGUCGUAGCUAUUGUCUGGAGAUCAUUCAUGGAGGUGUAUUCUAUAUUCCGCCAAAAUUCAGAAAAAUCAUAACUUACAAGCACUGGUGCCAACAGUUCAGAAAAGUGAUGUGACAGAGGAAAAAAUGAUAGGCUCCUGUUCAAAUCCCAGCUCUGCCUGGCAUAAACUAGGAUAUGUAGUGACCACUAGCAACACAAUAGGUAAAAAAAAAUCUAAUGUUGCAGGCGGGCUUUAAAUGAUAUUCAACUAUAGAUGGUAUUAUUAUUAAGAACAAAAAUCAACCAUGAUUUUUAGAAAGCAACUUAUUUAUCUAUUUAUUCAAAAAUCGGUGUGCCAGAGCUCUGGAGAAUGAGAGAGAGAAUGUGUGUGUGAGAGAGAGAUCUGCCAUUUGCUGUUUUACUCCCCAAAAGUCU
rnacentral:lncRNA from 1 species